rnacentral:lncRNA from 1 species
CUUGCCUCCAAACGUAUCAGUUGGAAGUAAUCUGUUAGGAGUCAACAACACAUUGGCUGUUAAACUACAACACUCGUGAGGCUGUUAGUCGUUGUGCUGUGACUCGUGUUAUAAGGAGUAGGAGGAAAAUCGUCUCCAUUUUUUAUUAGUAAAAAGCCAUGGAACCGGAAUUUCCUUACGCCCUGAACCCCUUCCCGGAGGAGGUGCAGACGAGGCUUAAGACGAAGUUCCUCGGGUUCAAGGGCGGCCUGGUGGACGCGGAGGGACGCCACGUCAUGCCCACGCACUACGGCCGCUUCGCCAGCCAGUACUUCAACUAUAAGUGAGUUCUGUUGCGCCUUGGGGGACGGUGAAUGUGUUGAUGUUGAUAAAGAUGUUGAUGUUGAUAAAGAU